UUAGUCUUAACGAAUAGCGGGUAUCUUAGUCACUAAAAUUAGAAAAGGGGCGUGGCAUUCCCUUAGGUUGCCAGCCACAUUCCCACCUAUUCUUGAACCCAAUUUCUCCAUCAUGUAUUCAUCUUUCUUGAUUCUUCUCUUCCAAUCUAAAUCAAAUCAAUUUCUUCCAAACAAUUCAAGAAUUCCUCUAAGAAUGUAAUAAUAAUCUUCAAUCAUCAAAAUUAAAAAGCUAGAGUUUAUGUUUGGGGGUGGGGCUGGCCAAAUUCCAAGAGAGAAAAGGGAGAAAGAGGAUAUUUUAAUUCAAGACUAAUUCCUUGAGUUCUUGAGGUUGAUUGCAAAUACGUUGUUUUAUGGUCAUCUUGCAAUUGUGGUCGCAAAUAAGGUUGUCCCGGAUGCGGAAGAAAGUUAAGUAAUGUAAAGAUUGAAGUUAAAGUUGCUUUAUGGAUAUUGGUUGCUUUAGCUAAAUGCGGAUAAGGGUAACGUUAAUAGGACCCGUAGAGACCCUUUUGAACUUUGGCUCAUGAUACAUUGAUUGGUUACUUCUAUCGAGUCAUUUUGUAUUAGAAAUGUGUUGGAUUGUGUUUGAAAUGUACCUUUGGAAAACUCUUAAUUCGUAACAGGUUUUAACGAUGAUUUUACGAAUGGGUCAUGCCGAAAUUUCUAACUUUUGGUA